rnacentral:tRNA from 1 species
GAGCCCGUGGCUCAAUGGUAGAGCGUUUGACUUAAUAAUCAAAGGUCGCGGGUUCA